rnacentral:rRNA from 1 species
UAGAAUGAACCGGCGAGUUGCGUUAGUCAGCAAGGUUAAGUCAGAAAAGACGGAGCCGUAGCGAAAGCGAGUCUGAAGAGGGCGAGCAGUUGGCUGACGCAGACCCGAAACCAAGUGACCUACCCAUGACCAGGUUGAAGGCGCGGUAAAACGCGCUGGAGGACCGAACCCACGUAAGUUGAAAAUUGCGGGGAUGAGUUGUGGGUAGCGGUGAAAUUCCAAACGAACUUGGAGAUAGCUGGUUCUCUCCGAAAUAGCUUUAGGGCUAGCCUCGCAAAGAGGAUGCUGGAGGUAGAGCUCUGUUUGGACUAGGGGCCGUCAAGGGUUACUGAAUUCAGAUAAACUGCGAAUUCCAAGACAUUUAUGUGCGGGAGUCAGACUGCGAGUGAUAAGAUCCGUAGUCGAAAGGGAAACAGCCCAGAUCAAGCCAGUAAGGUCCCAAAAUUCAUGCUAAGUGGAAAGGAUGUGGAGUUGCGCAGACAACUAGGACGUUGGCUCAGAAGCAGCCAUCAUUCAAAGAGUGCGUAAUAGCUCACUAGUCGAGUGACGCCGCGCCAGAAAUUACCGGGCUAAGCAUGAUACCGAACUUAGUGGAUGUGCGUUAUGCACGUGGUAGGAGAGCGUUCUAGCGGCGGUGAAGC